UACGGAGGAUGCAAGCGUUAUCCGGAAUUAUUGGGCGUAAAGCGUCCGCAGGUGGUUUAUCAAGUCUGCUGUCAAAGCGCGAGGCUUAACUUCGUAAAGGCAGUGGAAACUGAUAGACUGGAGUGCGGUAGGGGCAGAGGGAAUUCCCAGUGUAGCGGUGAAAUGCGUAGAUAUCGAGAGGAACACCUGCGGCGAAGGCGGGUUGCUGGGCUGACACUGACGCUGAUGCGCGAAAGCCAGGGGAGCGAACGGG
rnacentral:rRNA from 1 species